UUUUGUUUUUUUGUUUUAUGUUUUUUUUUGUAAAAUAUUUAAAUUUAUUUAUGUUUUUUUGUAAUAUUGAAAAUUUGGUGUUUGAACUGGAUUAGUACCCAGGUAAUCAAAAUUUAUUAAUUCGGGAGUAAAGUUUUGUUUAAACCGAAAAAAUAUUGACUGACUUUAGAUUUUUCUUUGGAAUAUGUGUUUUUUUGGAGAGCCCUCUUUUAUAGUGAAUUUUGUUGGCGCAUGUAUGAUUGUUUAGUUUUUACUUUUUUGGUAAUGCUUUGUGUUUUAUACAUUUAAAACAGAUAUAUAUUUGGCUUAUGGAUUUAUUUUUCAUGUGUUACUAUUGUUAAUUUUCUUUGGAUUAAUUUUUAAUUUUUUUGUUGAAAUUGGAAAAGAAA
rnacentral:rRNA from 1 species